ensembl:lncRNA
UGACUCCAUGAGCUCUUCCCUCCUUCCUGUACUGUUACGACUCCAUGAGCUCUUCCCUCCUUCCUGUACUGUUACGACUCCAUGAGCUCUUCCCUCCUUCCUGUACUGUUACGACUCCAUGAGCUCUUCCCUCCUUCCUGUACUGUUACGACUCCAUGAGCUCUUCCCUCCUUCCUGUACUGUUACGACUCCAUGAGCUCUUCCUCCUUCCAGAAACGGCUGUAGACCAACGAGGAAGACCCACAUGGAACUGGACUUUUUGGGGGUGAAUCUCCCGUUGACUUCAAAGCUUGACUUGUUAUGCUAAAGUCCAAGAGAGAAAUUAGUCCGGGAAGACUCCCCCAGUCAGUCAGGUAGGAGGAGUCUAUCCAUUACAUCAGUCAAGUAGGAGGAGUCUAUCCAUUACAUCAGUGCAGGAAGACUCCCCCCAGUCAGUCAGGUAGGAGGAGUCUAUCCAUUACAUCAGUCAGGUAGGAGGAGUCUAUCCAUUAAAUCAGUCAGGUAGGAGGAGUCUAUCCAUUACAUCAGUCAUGUAGGAGGAGUCUAUCCAUUACAUCAGUCCAGGAAGACUCCCCCAGUCAGUCAGGUGGGAGGAGUCUAUCCAUUACAUCAGUCAUGUAGGAGGAGUCUAUCCAUUACAUCAGUCCAGGUAGACUCCCCCAGUCAGUCAGGUAGGAGGAGUCUAUCCAUUACAUCAGUCCAGGAAGACUCCCCCAGUCAGUCAGGUAGGAGGAGUCUAUCCAUUACAUCAGUCCAGGAAGACUCCCCCAGUCAGUCAGGUAGGAGGAGGAGUCUAUCCAUUACAUCAGUCCAGGAAGACUCCCCCAGUCAGUCAGGUAGGAGGAGUCUAUCCAUUACAUCAGUCCAGGAAGACUCCCCCCAGUCAGUCAGGUAGGAGGAGUCUAUCCAUUACAUCAGUCCAGGAAGACUCCCCGAGUCAGUCAGGUAGGAGGAGGGCGUAGUGGUGAAACCCCAUCAAAGCCAGUUCAGCACAGCAGCAAUGGAGGACAGUGGUGAGUAUGUAUGAGACAGUAUGGAUGCACAUGUGUGUUCCUUACAAUACGUUCUUGUGUCUCUGUAUACUGUUGAUGGAUAAAGUUCUCCACAUCCUGCUGUGUGUGUGUGUGUGUGUGUGUGUGUGUGUGU